ACGGCGUUACUCGACAUGGAGGGCAGGAAAUUAGGCUUUGGAAUGGGAUCGUUCAUAGGUAUUCAGUGUAUUUCAUGAGGACUGGGAUCCUAACUGUCGUUUUGCUUGUAAGCUUUCGUAAGCUCCAAAAUUGUAUAAGUGGGUAUGUGCGGCAUCCUUUGUGGUCGGGUGCCUCUUAGAAGCUGUUGCAACGAGAGAGACAACCCUAACAUGGACACCUUCAUCUAUUCUUCGCUGGUGACAAUGAAAGAGCUCAUGGUUGUUUUCAGUGAAGAGGGUCGAAGCUAUAUUCGAAAUAUUUUAAACAGCAGUAAACUUCUCUGUAUUUGGGUUUGUUCCUCAGCGUGAAUGAAUACGUGCCACCCAUGAUUAAUUUGGG
rnacentral:lncRNA from 1 species